rnacentral:snRNA from 1 species
GAGCUUGUUUUGGCAGCACAUGUACUAAAAUUGGAACUAUACAGAGAAGAUUAGCAUGGCUCCUGGAGAAGGGUGACACCCAAAUAUCUGUGAAGCUGCUCCAUAAA